AGCGAACGCUGGCGGCAGGCUUAACACAUGCAAGUCGAGGGUAGCGGCAGACGGGUGAGUAACGCGUGGGAACGUACCUUUUGGUUCGGAACAACACAGGGAAACUUGUGCUAAUACCGGAUACCGAAAGAGCGGCCCGCGUCGGAUCAGCUGGUGGGUGAGGUAAUGGCUCACCAAGGCGACGAUCAGCAGCUGGUCUGUGAGAAUGAUCAGCAACAUUGGGACGGAGGAACGGCCCAAACUCUUACGGAAGGCAGCAGUGGGGAAUAUUGGCCAAUGGGGUCAACCCUGAUCCAGCCAUGCCGCGUGAGUGAUGAAGGCCCUAGGGUUGGAAAGCUCUUUUGUGCGGGAAGCGGUACCGCAAGAAUAAGCCCCGGCUAACUUCGUGCCAGCAGCCGCGGUAAUUC
rnacentral:rRNA from 1 species